GAGUAUAUAUACCAUGGGGCGUAAAAUUCAACAACGAUGAAGUCGUUCUUGGCCACAACUUCGGAGAAGUUGGAAUGAUCCAAAGUCAACACUUUCUUGCCUUCCUCAGCUACUACAGAUACACUCAACAAGGCCGUAGGAGCCACAGUAAGUACCAAAAUGGCACUCAAAACCAGAGUUUCCAUCUCUACACUACAGACACACAGUCACACACACACUGUAAAUGCAAAUAUCUCGUUCUUUCG
rnacentral:lncRNA from 1 species